GACAGAGGCCCCAAGCGUUAGGCGGAAUCACUGGGCUUAAAGCGUGUGUAGGCGGACGCCUAAGUGUCUUGUGAAAUCCCACGGCUCAACCGUGGAACGGCUGGGUAUACUGCGGGUCUUGAGCGGCCUAGGGGCAGACGGAACAAGUGGUGGAGCGGUGAAAUGCGUAGAUAUCACUUGGAACGCCGACGGUGAAAACAGUCUGCUGGGGGCCUGCUGACGCUGAGACACGAAAGCCAGGGGAGCGAACGGG
rnacentral:rRNA from 1 species